rnacentral:rRNA from 1 species
CACGGGGGGAGCAAGCGUUGUUCGGAAUCACUGGGCGUAAAGGGCGUGUAGGCGGUCAGGUAAGUGGAAUGUGAAAGCCCUCGGCUCACCCGAGGAUCGGCAUCCCAAACUGCCUGGCUUGAGUAUGGGAGAGGACAGGGGAAUUCCUGGUGUAGCGGUGAAAUGCGUAGAUAUCAGGAGGAACACCGGUGGCGAAAGCGCCUGUCUGGCCCAAUACUGACGCUGAUGCGCGAAAGCUAGGGGAGCAAACGGG